rnacentral:rRNA from 1 species
UACGUAGGGUGCGAGCGUUGCCCGGAAUUAUUGGGCGUAAAGCGCGUGUAGGCGGCUUUGCAAGUCGGGUGUGAAAGCCCUCAGCUCAACUGAGGAAGUGCGCCCGAAACUGCAGAGCUUGAGUACCGGAGAGGAUGGCGGAAUUCCCCAAGUAGAGGUGAAAUUCGUAGAUAUGGGGAGGAACACCGGUGGCGAAGGCGGCCAUCUGGACGGAUACUGACGCUGAGACGCGAAAGCGUGGGUAGCAAACAGG